CCAGCCUGAUUCGAAAGCCCAAAAAAAUGACUCCGAUAUGUUUCUGGGAUGUAUAUAUACUUUUAUAUGCAUGCUUUUAUUGGUGCAUGAUUUUUUAUAUGUAAAAUCCGUCUUUAAAUUUCUAAAAUCGAGAUAAUCUGAAAAGGUAUUAAUACAAUGAUAAUAUUUUUUACUUUUAAGCGAGCUCGAUUGGAAACAAUAAAAAUCGAACAUGCUUUAGCUCAAAAGAAAUUUACCUUUAAAGAAAAUAAAAAAUAAAAAAAGGAAGAAGAAGAGAAUAGGAAUAAAGAAAAAAAAUUAUAUUGCUCCACUGAGGGUUCUAGUAAAGAAUGUAUCACUGUCUAAAGGUAUAUGAUUUUUAUUUUUUGGGACCUAAAUAUAAUAGAUAUAUGUGUCUUUGUAUAUGACCACAAGUUGGCGACGUCGAUCCACAAAUCCAAAAAAUCCACCACC
rnacentral:lncRNA from 1 species